rnacentral:lncRNA from 1 species
AAAAUGUAAAAUAAAAUGCUAUAUUUAAAAAAGUCCAAUAAUUAUGUGUAUAUAUAUUUAAACGAGUAGAUUAUGGGCUCAAACAAAUUUCUACAACUCAACUAAGCGAAAAGAAAAUGAUAUCACUUGGGGUGAAUCAUUAAACUAGACAAAUGGAGGGGCGAAAUCCUUUAUUUUUAUUUUUUUGUUUUAUUGUUAUGUAAAUGGAAACAAUACAUCAUUAACAAAUCAAGCUCUUGUCAUAUAUAAAUAUGUGUAAAAUCCCUCCCCUCAUAUGCCUACUAUUACAUCUAUGGCUUGUAUGGAGAAGGCAUGGGCAUACUCUUAACAAUACCGCAAAGAGGGUGGUUGUCAGGGAGGUUGUACUCAUCCCUCAAGGAGCGAGCUGGUGAGAGAACACUAAAGUAGAGUUGUUGCCCUAAGUAGUACCUCUCCCACAUCUCUGAUCUCAAGUUCCAUAGUCCAGCGUUGUCUAGGGUUGUCAUCACCGCGGCCCAUGAGUUUGGAUAGACUUGGAUGCUGUGCCUGCUUACUGCAUCCACCAAGUUGUAGUUCUUUCUUUUCUCGGCACUCCACUUCCCUGGCUCGAUGGCCACUGCGAAAAAGGAAUAUCCGUCCAAGUGAUAGGUUUGGAUGGUCUUCUCACGGUUCUCAAAGAUGAUCUCUACAAAGUUACGGAAGGUGGCAUUCUUGAUAUUGGGGGCGACGGUCACCUUGUUCAGGUCGUCAGUUUGGGGUUCAUCAGCCAUGAGAUCAUACUUGAACAUCUUCUCGGUGACUCCGAAGUAUUCAGCAAGCUUGAAUGGGGUUUCUGCAGCAUUAGUGUGGGAGAUGCCGUUCAAGGCAAAUCGAAGCUUUCCAUCUACUUCGGUCCUAGAGUUGACAAUCUUGAAAGUACGGGUGAUGUUGAUCUGUCCGUAGUGGUAGGAUCCUUGAGGGUUGGGGCGGGCAGCACUAGCAGUAAGGUUCCAUCUGAAGGAGCGAAACUGGUUAAUGGACCAAGCAAUGCCUUGGGUGUUUUCUGGUGGAGGUGCUGGGAGGUCAGAAGAUGCUGGUCCCUUACCAUUGGCAUAUCGAAUGAUAGCCACGGAAGAGAGUUGCGCUUGCUUCAGGAACCUACUAGAAACAAUCAUGUAAUAGUCCUUGGGCUCUUGAUCAGCAGUGACCAACACCGAAAGGCAUUGACCA